AUAAGAGAAUCGCAUGAUUUUCUUAUCAAAGAUUUAUUGCUUUGAGAUGGACCCGCGGCGCAUUAGCUAGUUGGUAAGGUAACGGCUUACCAAGGCAACGAUGCGUAGCCGACCUGAGAGGGUGAUCGGCCACAUUGGAACUGAGACACGGUCCAGACUCCUACGGGAGGCAGCAGUGGGGAAUAUUGCGCAAUGGGGGAAACCCUGACGCAGCAACGCCGCGUGGGUGAUGAAGGUCUUCGGAUUGUAAAGCCCUGUUUUCUAGGACGAUAAUGACGGUACUAGAGGAGGAAGCCACGGCUAACUACGUGCCAGCAGCCGCGGUAAUACGUAGGUGGCGAGCGUUGUCCGGAUUUACUGGGCGUAAAGGGUGCGUAGGCGGAUGUUUAAGUGGGAUGUGAAAUCCCCGGGCUUAACCUGGGGGCUGCAUUCCAAACUGGAUAUCUAGAGUGCAGGAGAGGAAAGCGGAAUUCCUAGUGUAGCGGUGAAAUGCGUAGAGAUUAGGAAGAACACCAGUGGCGAAGGCGGCUUUCUGGACUGUAACUGACGCUGAGGCACGAAAGCGUGGGUAGCAAACAGGAUUAGAUACCCUGGUAGUCCACGCCGUAAACGAUGGAUACUAGGUGUAGGGGGUAUCAACUCCCCCUGUGCCGCAGUUAACACAAUAAGUAUCCCGCCUGGGGAGUACGGUCGCAAGAUUAAAACUCAAAGGAAUUGACGGGGGCCCGCACAAGCAGCGGAGCAUGUGGUUUAAUUCGAAGCAACGCGAAGAACCUUACCUGGACUUGACAUCCCUUGCAUAGCCUAGAGAUAGGUGAAGCCCUUCGGGGCAAGGAGACAGGUGGUGCAUGGUUGUCGUCAGCUCGUGUCGUGAGAUGUUAGGUUAAGUCCUGCAACGAGCGCAACCCUUGUUAUUAGUUGCUACCAUUAAGUUGAGCACUCUAAUGAGACUGCCUGGGUAACCAGGAGGAAGGUGGGGAUGACGUCAAAUCAUCAUGCCCCUUAUGUCCAGGGCUACACACGUGCUACAAUGGUAGGUACAAUAAGACGCAAGACCGUGAGGUGGAGCAAAACUUAUAAAACCUAUCUCAGUUCGGAUUGUAGGCUGCAACUCGCCUACAUGAAGCUGGAGUUGCUAGUAAUCGCGAAUCAGAAUGUCGCGGUGAAUACGUUCCCGGGCCUUGUACACACCGCCCGUCACACCAUGAGAGCUGGUAACACCCGAAGUCCGUGAGGUAACCGUAAGGA
rnacentral:rRNA from 1 species